UACGGAGGAUGCGAGCGUUAUCCGGAUUUAUUGGGUUUAAAGGGUGCGCAGGCGGAUUUUUAAGUCAUCGGUCAAAUCGUGGGGCUCAACCCCAUCCAGCCGUUGAAACUGGGGAUCUAGAGUGUGCGAGAGGUAUGCGGAAUGCGUGGUGUAGCGGUGAAAUGCAUAGAUAUCACGCAGAACCCCGAUUGCGAAGGCAGCAUACCGGUGCACAACUGACGCUCAGGCACGAAAGCGUGGGUAUCGAACAGG
rnacentral:rRNA from 1 species